rnacentral:rRNA from 1 species
GACGAACGCUGGCGGCGUGCUUAACACAUGCAAGUCGAACGGUGAAGCGCUUGCCUUUUUGGUGGGUGUGGAUGAGUGGCGAACGGGUGAGUAACACGUGAGUAACCUGCCCUCUUCUUCUGGAUAACCUCAUGAAAGUGGGGCUAAUACGGGGUAUUCCGGGUCUGUCGCAUGGCGGGUUUGGGAAAGAUUGCGCCUUUGGGUGUUUUCGGUGGGGGAUGGGCUCGCGGCCUAUCAGCUUGUUGGUGGGGUGAUGGCCUACCAAGGCGGUGACGGGUAGCCGGCCUGAGAGGGUGGACGGCCACACUGGGACUGAGACACGGCCCAGACUCCUGCGGGAGGCAGCAGUGGGGAAUAUUGCACAAUGGGCGCAAGCCUGAUGCAGCGACGCCGCGUGAGGGAUGGAGGCCGUCGGGUUGUGAACCUCUUUCGCCAGUGAAGCAGGCCUGCUCCCGUGUGGGUGGGUUGACGGUAGCUGGAUAAGAAGCGCCGGCUAACUACGUG